rnacentral:rRNA from 1 species
AGAGUUUGAUCCUGGCUCAGGACGAACGCUGGCGGGCGUGCUUAACACAUGCAAGUCGAGCGAUGAAACACCUUCGGGUGUGAAUUAGCAGCGAACGGGUGAGGAACACGUGAGAAAUCUGCCUUCAACACUGGGAUAACUCCGGGAAACCGGGGCUAAUACCGGAUAUGAAAUCUGCGGGCAUCCGCGGAUUUGGAAAGUUUUUCGGUUGAAGAUGAUCUCGCGGCCUAUCAGCUUGUUGGUGAGGUAAUGGCACACCAAGGCGACGACGGGUAGCCGGCCUGAGAGGGCGACCGGCCACACUGGGACUGAGACACGGCCCAGACUCCUACGGGAGGCAGCAGUGGGGAAUAUUGGGCAAUGGAGGAAACUCUGAGCCAGCGACGCCGCGUGCGGGAUGAAGGCCUUCGGGUUGUAAACCGCUUUCAGCAGGGAAGAAGCGAAAGUGACGGUACCUGCAGAAGAAGUACCGGCUAACUAUGUGCCAGCAGCCGCGGUAAUACAUAGGGUGCAAGCGUUGUCCGGAAUUAUUGGGCGUAAAGAGCUCGUAGGUGGUUCGUCACGUCGGAUGUGAAACUCUGGGGCUUAACCCCAGACCUGCAUUCGAUACGGGCGAGCUUGAGUAUGGUAGGGGAGUCUGGAAUUC